GGCGAGGUAGCCAAGCGGUCUAAGGCGCCAGACUAAGGCUUCUGGAAGAUUCUGAGCGAUGAAAUCUGGUUCUUCGGAGCGUGGGUUCGAAUCCCACCCUCGUCA